GCGCAUACAAAAUUUACUCAUAUGUUGAAUCUUAUUGUGUUUCGGGAACAACCGUAUUUGUUCGACAUGAACAACAGCUAUUACAUCUUAGCAAAUGAAUGCUUUUCUCUCUAAACGUUUUGUCAUAAUAUCCAUAGAUAACUGGGUUUACGAUAUUAUUCAAAACAUUCAUUUCUCGAAUAAUCGCCAAAAGUGAAAGCUCAGCUUUACUUUUAUCUAUCCAAAAGUUAUCGCUUCCCAGUGACAUGAAAAGAAUUAUAAACUGUGGAAUGUAUGAUAGGAAAAAUGCAAUGGCAACCAUCAUAAACAUGUACGAAAAUGUGUGUGACAUGUUUUCUUUUUUCUUUUCAUUUUGCUGCUGAAAAGUAUUUAAAGCGUCUUCUUUGAGGUGUCUAGAAACUGACGGUACCUGAUCUGUUCUAUCCUUUGCUGCUCCUCUGGUAACCGCUGACUGAUCCACCCUUGUCAAUUUCAUUCUAAAGUGAAUCUGCUUGUAAAUUUUUCGCCCAAUCAAAAUAUUCAGCAAUAACAAUCCGCUCAUAAUUACAAGGAUAAAGACAGUUGCAAAAACGAUAAAUACGAUGAAACCAGUAUCUAUACCAUUUAUAUCAAUUUCACAAACAAA
rnacentral:lncRNA from 1 species